rnacentral:tRNA from 1 species
UGGGAUGUAGGUCAGUGGUAGAGUGCUUGCUAGCAUGCAUGAGGCCCUGGGUUUAAUCCCCAGCAUUACAA